UGAUUCCCAAUCCUGGAUUCGGUCUCUGCCUUCUUUUCACUCUAUACACAUGAUCCAUGAACAAGCUCAUUUGCUUCCAAGACCAUAGUCCUCCCCUAUGCUAAUGGCUUCCCAAUCUGUGCCUCCAACAAGGUUUUUCUACUGAGUUUGACUCUUAUCUUACAGGGGCCUGGUGGACACCUAUCUGAAGGUCUUGCCUGUAUCAGCAGAUUCAGCAGCCGGGGCCACUCAUGUACUAGGAGCUUGUCCAUCCCCCCUCCUAAAGCUCUCCAAUCUCUCUGCUCAUGUCCAUCCUUCACUGAUGUCCUGAGUUCACUUCACAACUCUGGUCAGCUCCUGUCUGGAUUAUUCCAAUGGCCCCACAAAUGACCUCCCUUCUGUAGCCCAUGUUCCCAGUCCAUCAUGAGAGCAGAUAUUUGUACAUCCAUCUUUAUUGAAGCAUUAUUCACAACAGCUAGAAGGUGAAAACAAUCCAAUUGUCAUAAACAAAAUGUGGUAUAUACAUGUGAAAGAAAUAUUAUUAAGCCUGCAAAAGGAAGGAAAUUCCAAUACGUGCUAUAACAUGAAUGAGUCUUGAGGACAUUAUGUAAAUAAAAUAAUCCAGUCACAAAAGGACAAAUACUGCAUGAUUCGACUAUGAGGCACCCAGAAGAGUCAAGUCCCUAGAGACAGAGAGUCAUAUGGUAACUGCCAGAGGCAAGGGAGGGAGAGCAAAUGGAGAAUUAGUGUUUCACGGGCUCAGAGUCUUGGUUUGGGAAAAUAGGAACGUCCUGGAGAUGGAGGGUGGUGAUCGUUGCACCAUAUGAACGUACUUAAUGCCAUUGAACGGUACACAUAAAAAUGGUUAAAAACGAAAGUUUUAUGUA